GAUGAACGCUGGCGGCGUGCCUAAUACAUGCGAGUCGAGCGAACGGACGAGAAGCUUGCUUCUCUGAUGUUAGCGGCGGACGGGUGAGUAACACGUGGAUAACCUACCUAUAAGACUGGGAUAACUUCGGGAAACCGGAGCUAAUACCGGAUGAUAUUUUGAACUGCAUGGUUCAAAAGUGAAAGACGGUCUUGCUGUCACUUAUAGAUGGAUCCGCGCUGCAUUAGCUAGUUGGUAAGGUAACGGCUUACCAAGGCAACGAGGCAUAGCCGACCUGAGAGGGUGAUCGGCCACACUGGAACUGAGACACGGCCCAGACUCCUACGGGAGGCAGCAGUAGGGAAUCUUCCGCGAUGGGCGAAAGCCUGACGGAGCAACGCCGCGUGAGUGAUGAAGGUCUUCGGAUCGUAGAGCUCUGUUAUUAGGGAAGAACAAAUGUUUUAGUAACUGUGCACAUCUUGACGGUACCUAAUCAGAAAGCCACGGCUAACUACGUG
rnacentral:rRNA from 1 species